rnacentral:rRNA from 1 species
GACGAACGCUGGCGGCGUGCUUAACACAUGCAAGUCGAACGGAAAGGCCCUGCUUUUGUGGGGUGCUCGAGUGGCGAACGGGUGAGUAACACGUGAGUAACCUGCACUUGACUUUGGGAUAACUUCAGGAAACUGGGGCUAAUACCGGAUAGGAGCUCCUGCUCCAUGGUGGGGGUUGGAAAGUUUCGGCGGUUUGGGAUGGACUCGCGGCUUAUCAGCUUGUUGGUGGGGUAGUGGCUUACCAAGGCUUUGACGGGUAGCCGGCCUGAGAGGGUGACCGGCCACAUUGGGACUGAGAGACGGACCAGACUCCUACGGGAGGCAGCAGGGGGGAAUAUUGCACAAUGGGGGGAAGACUGAUGCAGCAACGCCGCGUGCGGGAUGACGUCCUUCGGGUUGUAAACCGCUUUCGCCUGUGACGAAGCGUGAGUGACGGUAAUGGGUAAAGAAGCACCGGCUAACUACGUG